CAGUCGCCGCGGUAAUACGUAGGUGGCAAGCGUUGUCCGGAAUUAUUGGGCGUAAAGGGCUCGCAGGCGGUUUCUUAAGUCUGAUGUGAAAGCCCCCGGCUCAACCGGGGAGGGUCAUUGGAAACUGGGAAACUUGAGUGCAGAAGAGGAGAGUGGAAUUCCACGUGUAGCGGUGAAAUGCGUAGAGAUGUGGAGGAACACCAGUGGCGAAGGCGACUCUCUGGUCUGUAACUGACGCUGAGGAGCGAAAGCGUGGGGAGCGAACAGGAUUAGAGACCCCCGUAGUCCUGUCUCUUAUACA
rnacentral:rRNA from 1 species